rnacentral:lncRNA from 1 species
AUCAGUCUCUCUCAUAAAUCGAAUCCAAUCUGAUCCAUAUUUUUACUUGAUCUGAUCCGAUUCAACCCGAGGUGAGUAUAAGAUAUGCAUGGAUAUGAAAUUUUUAUUUAUAGAACGGAUACGAAUACGAGCCGAUUUGACCAAUAUCCAAUCUAUUGCCAUCCCUACUCAUAUUUAUCUAUUCUCUUUAGAUGAUUGAUUUUUAUAUGUG